rnacentral:rRNA from 1 species
GGGAAUUCGGAAUGAGUGCUUACUGCAUUUUUUUACACAUGUGUUUUUCUUUUUUUUUGAAAACUUUGCUUUGGUGGGCCCAUGGCCUGCCAGAGAUUAAACUCAACCAAAUUUUAUUUAAGUCAACUGAUUAACUAAUAGUCAAAACUUUCAACAACGGAUCUCUUGGUUCUCGCAUCGAUGAAGAACGCAGCGAAAUGCGAUAAGUAAUAUGAAUUGCAGAUAUUCGUGAAUCAUCGAAUCUUUGAACGCACAUUGCGCCCUUUGGUAUUCCAAAGGGCAUGCCUGUUUGAGCGUCAUUUCUCCCUCAAACCUUCGGGUUUGGUGUUGAGCGAUACGCUGGGUUUGCUUGAAAGAAAGGCGGAGUAUAAACUAAUGGAUAGGUUUUUUUCCACUCAUUGGUACAAACUCCAAAAUUCUUCCAAAUUCGACCUCAAAUCAGGUAGGACUACCCGCUGAACUUAAGCAUAUCAAAAGGCGGGAGGAAAG